rnacentral:rRNA from 1 species
UACGUAGGGUGCAAGCGUUAAUCGGAAUUACUGGGCGUAAAGCGUGCGUAGGCGGCUAUGUAAGACAGAUGUGAAAUCCCUGGGCUUAACCUAGGAACUGCAUUUGUGACUGCAUUGCUGGAGUGUGGUAGAGGGAGAUGGAAUUCCGCAUGUAGCAGUGAAAUGCGUAGAUAUGCGGAGGAACACCAAUGGCGAAGGCAAUCUCCUGGACCUGCACUGACGCUCAUGCACGAAAGCGUGGGGAGCAAACAGG